GCAGCCGCGGUAAUACGUAGGUUGCAAGCGUUGUCCGGAUUUACUGGGUGUAAAGGGCGUGUAGGCGGAGAUGCAAGUUGGGAGUGAAAUCCCGGGGCUCAACCCCGGAACUGCUUUCAAAACUGUAUCCCUUGAGUAUCGGAGAGGCAAGCGGAAUUCCUAGUGUAGCGGUGAAAUGCGUAGAUAUUAGGAGGAACACCAGUGGCGAAGGCGGCUUGCUGGACGACAACUGACGCUGAGGCGCGAAAGCGUGGGGAGCAAACAGGAUUAGAUACCCC
rnacentral:rRNA from 1 species